rnacentral:rRNA from 1 species
AAUUUUGGACAAUGGGGGAAACCCUGAUCCAGCCAUCCCGCGUGUAUGAUGAAGGUCUNCGGAUUNUNAAGCACUUUAAGUUGGGNGGAAGGGUUGUAGGUUAAUACCCUGCAAUUUUGACGUUACCAACAGAAUAAGCACCGGCUAACUUCGUGCCAGCAGCCGCGGUAAUACGACGGGUGCAAGCGUUAAUCGGAAUUACUGGGCGUAAAGCGCGCGUAGGUGGUUUGUUAAGUUGGAAGUGAAAGCCCCGGGCUCAACCUGGGAACUGCUUUCAAAACUGCUGAGCUAGAGUACGGUAGAGGGUAGUGGAAUUUCCUGUGUAGCGGUGAAAUGCGUAGAUAUAGGAAGGAACACCAGUGGCGAAGGCGACCACCUGGGCUAAUACUGACACUGAGGUGCGAAAGCGUGGGGAGCAAACAGG